CCAACCUUAAAUAGAAACAGCCUGUAUUCUUCGAUUAUGACUGCAAAAUAACGAAGGAAGUAUUGUUUAGCGUUUUGCCAAACGUUAAAAAGUGCGGUUACAAUAUUGUUGCCAUUGUAAGCGAUUUGGGUGGAUCAAAUAGAGGCUUAUAUAGUGAUCUUGAAAUUAAUGCGGAGAAACCUUGGUACAUUCACUAAACAAUUAUUUAAAUUAUGAUAUACUUUAAAUUGUGGUCUCUUUUUUCUAUUGCUGGUUUUCACACAACGGAGACAGGAUUGUGGUUUUUGCUGAUGUCCCCCACUUAAUAAAACUACAAAGAAAUCAUUUUUUUGGAUAAGGGCUUUACUAUCAAUGGAAAAUUUGUUAGAAAAGACAUAAUUGUGAAGCUGCUCUCGCUAACGUCCAACGAGCUGUCCAUCACGCACAAAAUUUCCCUGAAACAUUUGUGUGUGACAGGAGCAGAAAGGCAAAAGGUUAAACUAGCCACAAAAUUGUUCUCCCACACAAAUGCUCAAGCAAUAACUCGAGCGGCUAGUUUAGGUCUACUACAUAACGAAAAUUAGGAGGAAUGCCAUCGACUUUUCAAAAUUACAAAUGACUGGUUUGACGUAAUGAAUGUCAGGGUGCCCAAAGAUGGAGUGAGGGAACGCUUGCACGCCUACGGUUUGGCUUUGAACAAACAAAAUAAUGUAGUGGAACAGAUGACGGAGCUGAUUUCAUCAAUGAGAGUCAUUGGUAAAAAAGGUUUGCUUCCAUUCCAAAAGGGUAUACUCCAAAGCAAUAAUGCUUUGAAAUUGCUGCUAGAUGACUUAUGACAAGAGCACAAAAUUGAUUACGUUUUGACCUAUCGAUUGAACCAGGACGUUUUGGAAAAUUUUUUUGGCGUAAUCAGGUCAAAAGGCGGUCUUCACGAUCACCCUCACAGGCAGGAGUUCAAAUAUAGGCUGCGUUCCUAUAUACUUGGUCACAGCGAAGGAGCGAUCACAGAAGAAGGCAAAGUUGAAGUCGACAACACACCAGAUUUGGAAGGAAAUUACUUAUCUC